GUGUCAGCCGCCGCGGUAAUACGUAGGGUGCGAGCGUUAAUCGGAAUUACUGGGCGUAAAGGGUGCGCAGGCGGUUUUGUAAGCCAGAUGUGAAAUCCCCGGGCUCAACCUGGGAAUGGCAUUUGGGACUGCAAGGCUAGAGUGUGGCAGAGGAGACUGGAAUUCCUGGUGUAGCAGUGAAAUGCGUAGAUAUCAGGAGGAAUACCGAUGGCGAAGGCAGGUCUCUGGGUUAACACUGACGCUCAUGCACGAAAGCGUGGGGAGCAAACAGGAUUAGAUACCCUCGUAGUCC
rnacentral:rRNA from 1 species